rnacentral:rRNA from 1 species
UACGGAGGGUGCAAGCGUUAUCCGGAUUUACUGGGUUUAAAGGGUGCGUAGGUGGUCUGUUAAGUCCGUUGUGAAAGCCCUGGGCUCAACCCAGGAACUGCUUCGGAUACUGGCAGACUUGAGGCUAGUAGAGGUCACUGGAACUGACGGUGGAGCGGUGAAAUGCGUAGAUAUCGUCAGGAACGCCAAUGGUGAAGACAGGUGACUGGGCUAGUUCUGACACUGAGGCACGAAAGCGUGGGGAGCGAACGGG